rnacentral:rRNA from 1 species
AUGCAGAACCUGCUUCUCCCGAACGCGGCCGCCGCGCCCUGCUGCGCGCAGCCGAGGCGGCGGCCAUCCCGCCCCUCCGUUCGCGCCUCGGCAGUGUCGUCGUCGGCGCCUCGGCGGGAGACCGACCCGAGGAAGCGGGUGGUGAUCACGGGGAUGGGCCUGGUGUCCGUGUUCGGGAACGACGUGGACGUAUACUACGAGCGGCUCCUCGCCGGGGAGAGCGGCGUCGGCGCCAUCGACCGUUUCGACGCCUCCGGAUUCCCCACGCGCUUCGCCGCCCAGAUCCGCGGCUUCUCCUCCGAAGGCUACGUCGACGGCAAGCUCGACCGCCGCCUUGACGACAUCCACCGCUACGCCCUCGUCGCCACCAAGAAGGCCCUCGAGUGCGCAAGCCUCGCCCCCGGCACCAGCGCCAUGAGGAAGGUCGACAAAGAACGGGCCGGCGUGGUCGUCGGCUCCGGCAUGGGCGGCAUCACGGCGCUCUCCGACGGCAUCGCGAGCCUCGUGACCAAGGGGUGCGGGAAGAUAUCUCCACUGUGCAUCCCGCACGCCAUAACCAACAUCAGCUCCGCCUUGGUCACCAUGGGCGCUGCCGACGGCUUCCGAGGCCCGAACUACUCGAUCUCCACCGCGUGUGCCACCUCCAACCACUGCUUCAACAGCGCCGCCGACCAGAUCCGACUGGGCCGAGCCGACGUCAUGAUCGCCGGUGGCACCGAAGCUGGCAUCAUCCCGAUCGCCCUCGGCGCGUUCUUCGCGUGCAGGGCGCUGUCGCAGAGGAACGUCGACCCCGGCACGGCGUCGAGGCCGUGGGACAAGGACCGCGACGGCUUUGUCCUUGGUGAAGGAGCCGGAGUACUGGUCAUGGAAAGCCUUGAGCAUGCAAUGAGACGCGGCGCUCCGAUUCUCGCCGAGUACUUGGGAGGCGCCGUAAACAGUGAUGCUCACCACAUGACUGAUCCAAGACCAGAUGGCCUUGGUGUUUCAUCGUGCAUAAGAAGGAGCCUUGAAAAUGCAGGUGUGGCGCUGGAGGAGGUCAAUUACAUAAACGCCCACGCAACCUCGACCCUUGCUGGAGACCUGGCAGAAGUGAAAGCUUUGAAGCAAGUCUUCAAGGACCCAUCCCAGAUUAAGCUGAAUGCAACGAAGUCCAUGAUUGGCCAUAGCCUUGGCGCGGCAGGUGCCUUGGAAGCCAUUGCUACCAUCAAAGCGAUCACCACCGGAUGGCUACACCCAACUAUAAACCAGUUUAAUCCAGAACCGGCAGUUGAUCAAUUUGACACGGUGCCUAACGUGAAACAACAACACGAAGUAAAUGUUGGCAUCUCCAAUUCAUUUGGAUUUGGCGGACAGAAUUCAGUAGUCGUGUUUGCACCGUUUAAGCCGUGA